UAGCGUGGUUGGAACUGAUUCCCAUACAACUAUGAUUGCUGGCUUAGGAGUUGUUGGCUGGGGAGUUGGAGGAAUUGAAUCUGAGGCUACAAUGCUUGGCCAGGGAGGAAAUGACUUGAGAUAUAUGACUCAGAGAGAACAGUGGGUCACACAGGUCAGAAAUUUUUUGGAGAGAUGCAAAAUAUGGUCCAAGAAUUAAAGAACUUAGUUUUUUAAG